GAUGAACGCUCGCUCCAGGCUUAACACAUGCAAGUCGAGGGGAAACGACAUCGAAAGCUUGCUUUUGAUGGGCGUCGACCGGCGCACGGGUGAGUAACGCGUAUCCAACCUGCCCACCACUUGGGGAUAACCUUGCGAAAGUAAGACUAAUACCCAAUGAUAUCUCUAGAAGACAUCUGAAAGAGAUUAAAGAUUUAUCGGUGAUGGAUGGGGAUGCGUCUGAUUAGCUUGUUGGCGGGGUAACGGCCCACCAAGGCAACGAUCAGUAGGGGUUCUGAGAGGAAGGUCCCCCACAUGGGAACUGAGACACGGUCCAAACGCCUACGGGAGGCAGCAGUGAGGAAUAUGGGUCAAUGGACGAGAGUCUGAACCAGCCAAGUAGCGUGCAGGAAGACGGCCCUAUGGGUUGUAAACUGCUUUUAGAAGGGAAUAAAGUGAGUCUCGGGAGACUUUUUGCAUGUACCUUAUGAAUAAGGACCGGCUAAUUCCGUG
rnacentral:rRNA from 1 species